rnacentral:rRNA from 1 species
UCUGAGAGGAAGGUCCCCCACAUUGGAACUGAGACACGGUCCAAACUCCUACGGGAGGCAGCAGUGAGGAAUAUUGGUCAAUGGGCGAGAGCCUGAACCAGCCAAGUAGCGUGCAGGAUGACGGCCCUAUGGGUUGUAAACUGCUUUUAUAAGGGAAUAAAGUGAGUCUCGUGAGACUUUUUGCAUGUACCUUAUGAAUAAGGACCGGCUAAUUCCGUGCCAGCAGCCGCGGUAAUACGGAAGGUCCGGGCGUUAUCCGGAUUUAUUGGGUUUAAAGGGAGCGUAGGCCGGAGAUUAAGCGUGUUGUGAAAUGUAGAUGCUCAACAUCUGCACUGCAGCGCGAACUGGUUUCCUUGAGUACGCACAAAGUGGGCGGAAUUCGUGGUGUAGCGGUGAAAUGCUUAGAUAUCACGAAGAACUCCGAUUGCGAAGGCAGCUCACUGGAGCGCAACUGACGCUGAAGCUCGAAAGUGCGGGUAUCGAACAGGAUUAGAUACCCUGGUAGUCCGCACGGUAAACGAUGGAUGCCCGCUGUUGGUCUGAA